rnacentral:rRNA from 1 species
GACGAACGCUGGCGGCGUGCUUAACACAUGCAAGUCGAACGGAAAGGCCCUGCUUGCAGGGUGCUCGAGUGGCGAACGGGUGAGUAACACGUGGGUGAUCUGCCCCUUACUUUGGGAUAAGCCUGGGAAACUGGGUCUAAUACUGGAUAGGACCAUGCUGUAGGUGGUGUGGUGGAAAGAUUAGUUUCGGUAAGGGAUGAGCUCGCGGCCUAUCAGCUUGUUGGUGGGGUAAUGGCCUACCAAGGCGUCGGCGGGUAGCCGGCCUGAGAGGGUGGACGGCCACAUUGGGACUGAGAUACGGGCCAGACUCCUACGGGAGGGAGCAGUGGGGAAUAUUGCACAAUGGGCGCAAGCCGGAUGCAGCGACGCCGCGUGGGGGAUGACGGCCUUCGGGUUGUAAACUCCUUUCAGCCAUGACGAAGCCCUUGUGGUGACGGUAGUGGUAGAAGAAGCACCGGCUAACUACGUG